rnacentral:snRNA from 1 species
UUGCUUCGGGCAGCACAUAUACUAAAACUAGAACGAUACAGAGAUUAGCAAUGCCCCUGCACAAGAAUGACACACAAAUUCAUGAAGCAUUCCAUAUUUUC